rnacentral:rRNA from 1 species
UACGUAGGGUCCAAGCGUUGUCCGGAAUCAUUGGGCGUAAAGCGCGCGUAGGCGGCCCGGUAAGUCCGUUGUAAAAGUCGAAGGCUCAACCUUCGAAAGCCGAUGGAUACUGCCGGGCUAGAGUACGGAAGAGGCGAGUAGAAUUCCUGGUGUAGCGGUGGAAUGCGCAGAUAUCAGGAGGAAUACCCAUAGCGAAGGCAGCUCGCUGGGACGUUACUGACGCUGAGGCGCGAAAGCGUGGGGAGCGAACAGG